rnacentral:rRNA from 1 species
UACAGAGGUCUCAAGCGUUGUUCGGAUUCAUUGGGCGUAAAGGGUGCGUAGGCGGCGCGGUAAGUCGGGUGUGAAAUUUCGAGGCUUAACCUCGAAACUGCAUUCGAUACUGCGGUGCUUGAGGACUGGGAGAGGAGACUGGAAUUCAUGGUGUAGCAGUGAAAUGCGUAGAGAUCAUGAGGAAGACCAGUGGCGAAGGCGGGUCUCUGGACAGUUCCUGACACUGAGGCACGAAGGCCCAGGGGAGCAAACGGG